CCCACUCCACCCAGAAAAUAGGAGAAAAAUACUUUGGGCAUGGCCUCCCCCCCCCCCCCAUAAAUGGAUCCCUGAAUUUAGCCCAGAAUGACUUUGCUAGGACUAUAAAGACUACUUUUGAGUUCCCACUCGGAAAGCUUUGGGAUUUCUAUUCCCCUUCAGUCUUUUCCACCACCUCUGAGAGAACUCAGCUUUCUGGAACUCAAAUGUGGUAGGCAGAAAUGAAUGACCCCUCCCCCCAAAAUGUCCACAUCCUAGUAUGCGAAACCUUUAUUACUUUACAUGGUAAAAGGAAUUUUACAGAUAUGAGGAAAGAUGGUCAGAGUUAGGUAUAGCCUGGAAGCAGACAUUGGAGCCCCACACAGCCACCAACCAAGGAAUGUGGGCAGCCUCUGGAAGCUGGAAAAAACAAGGAAACCAAUUGUCUCCUAGAGCCUUCAGAAAGAAUGCCGCCGUGCUGACCCAUUCAGGACUUCUGACCUUCAGAAUGUAUGAUAAAUGUGUGUUGAUUAACCCACUGAAUUUGUGGUAAUUUGUGACAGCAGCAAUAGAAAACACAUGCACGUACAGAAGAGGUGUCAAGGAACACCAUGAUCAAACAGCCAGCGUCACAGGUCUCCACGAGUCAGACAAAUCUGAUUGCAGAGAUGGUUGCACAACAUUGCAAAAUGUAAGAACUACUGAAUUGUGCACUUUAAAAUGAUUAAAUGGUGAAUUUUA